UACGUAGGGUGCAAGCGUUGUCCGGAAUUAUUGGGCGUAAAGAGCUCGUAGGCGGUCUGUCGCGUCGGAUGUGACAAUCCAGGGCUCAACCCUGGACCUGCAUUCGAUACGGGCAGACUAGAGUUCGGCAGGGGAGACUGGAAUUCCUGGUGUAGCGGUGAAAUGCGCAGAUAUCAGGAGGAACACCGGUGGCGAAGGCGGGUCUCUGGGCCGAUACUGACGCUGAGGAGCGAAAGCGUGGGGAGCGAACAGG
rnacentral:rRNA from 1 species